rnacentral:rRNA from 1 species
GGGGCGCAGCAGGCGCGAAAACUUUACAAUGCUGGCAACAGCGAUAAGGGGACCUCGAGUGCCAGGAUACAAUCUUGGCUGUCGCGAUGCCUAAAAAGCACUGCAUAGCAAGGGCCGGGCAAGACCGGUGCCAGCCGCCGCGGUAACACCGGCGGCUCGAGUGGUAACCGCUAUUAUUGGGUCUAAAGGGUCUGUAGCCGGCCGGAUAAGUCUUUUGGGAAAUCCAGCUGCUCAACAGUUGGGCUUUCAGAAGAUACUGUUCGGCUCGAGACCGGGAGAGGUGAGAGGUACUUCAGGGGUAGGGGUGAAAUCUUGUAAUCCUUGAAGGACCACCAGUGGCGAAGGCGUCUCACCAGAACGGAUCUGACGGCAAGGGACGAAAGCUAGGGGCACGAACCGGAUUAGAUACCCGGGUAGUCCUAGCCGUAAACGAUACUCGCUAGGUGUCAGCCACGGUGCGACCGUGGUUGGUGCCGUAGGGAAGCCGUGAAGCGAGCCACCUGGGAAGUACGGCCGCAAGGCUGAAACUUAAAGGAAUUGGCGGGGGAGCACAAGGGCGAAUCGC